rfam:Actinophytocola xinjiangensis strain CGMCC 4.4663 contig14, whole genome shotgun sequence.
GCGGGUUCAGCCCGACCCCCCGGGGCUGAACCGUUGACGACCCCCGUCCCUCCCCCCUGGCGGGGGUCGUCUCUC